CAGCCCCUCGAGUGGUGGGGGAUGAUUAUUUGGCCUAAAGCGUCCGUAGCCUGCCGGAUAAGUUUCCCGUUAAAUCCAACGUCUCAAGCGUUGGUCUGCGGGAAAUACUGUCUGGCUAGAGAGUGGGAAAGGUCAGCGGUAUUCUGGGGGUAGGGGCGAAAUCCUUUGAUCCCCGGAGGACCACCAGUGGCGAAGGCUGCUGACUAGAACACGUCUGACGGUCAGGGACGAAAGCUGGGGUAGCGAACCGGAUUAGAUACCCGGGUAGUCCCAGCCGUAAACGAUGCAUGCUAGGUGUUGGGUUGGCCACGAGCCACCCCAGUGCCGCAGGGAAGCCGUUAAGCAUGCCGCCUGGGAAGUACGGUCGCAAAGAUUG
rnacentral:rRNA from 1 species